rnacentral:tRNA from 1 species
GAGCCCGUAGCUCAGUUGGUAGAGCACUUGACUUUUAAUCAGGUUGUCCCGGGUUCGAGUCCCGGCGGGCUCACCA